AUAAUGAAACUUCUGUUUAGCCUCAGUCAGAGCGUUAAAAGCGUCUAAGGCAAGGGGAACAGGCCGUCUGGAAGAGGGUAGGUGAAAGUCCUAUGG
rnacentral:ncRNA from 1 species